CCUACGGGAGACAGCAGUGGGGAAUAUUGGGCAAUGGAGGAAACUCUGACCCAGCAACGCCGCGUGAAUGAUGAAGGUCUUCGGAUUGUAAAGUUCUUUUCUAAGGGAAGAAGAAAGUGACGGUACCUUAGGAAUAAGCCUCGGCUAACUACGUGCCAGCAGCCGCGGUAAUACGUAGGAGGCGAGCGUUAUCCGGGAUGACUGGGCGGAAAGGGUGCGUAGGUGGGUUGGCAAGUUAGUAGCGUAACUCCAAGGCUCAACCUUGGAACUACUACUAAAACUGUUGGACUUGAGUGCAGGAGGGGCAACCGGAAUUCCUAGUGUAGCGGUGGAAUGCGUAGAUAUUAGGAGGAACACCAGUGGCGAAGGCGGGUUGCUGGACUGUAACUGACGCUGAGGCACGAAAGCGUGGGGAGCAAACAGGAUUAGAUACCCGAGUAGUC
rnacentral:rRNA from 1 species